AACGGUCUAUACCUGCGGUACCUGCGGAGGGAUCAUUAAAUAGUUUGUGCCUCCAAGGUACACAGCACAGUGGCAGGUGUAAAAUCCAGCCAAUGUGUUAUACCACUUGUUGAAACACCUUCUUUGCUUUGGCAGCACUCUUCGCUUGCCGUGGGGGUAAGGCUGCCAAAAGCCUAUUACAAAACCAGUUGAUGAAAUGUCAUGCUGUCUGAUACUUUUUAGUAUUUGAGAAAUCAAAUC
rnacentral:misc_RNA from 1 species